UACGUAGGGUCCGAGCGUUGUCCGGAAUUAUUGGGCGUAAAGAGCUCGUAGGCGGUUUGUCGCGUCUGCUGUGAAAACUCGGGGCUUAACUCCGGGCCUGCAGUGGGUACGGGCAGACUAGAGUGCGGUAGGGGAGACUGGAAUUCCUGGUGUAGCGGUGAAAUGCGCAGAUAUCAGGAGGAACACCGGUGGCGAAGGCGGGUCUCUGGGCCGUAACUGACGCUGAGGAGCGAAAGCGUGGGGAGCGAACAGG
rnacentral:rRNA from 1 species